rnacentral:rRNA from 1 species
AUGGCGCCUUCAGGAAAGAAUAUCUCUGGAGCCAUGCUCUUAAUUGUCAUCUUAGCCGCCAUAUGUCCACUGUGUUCAAUGGCGUAUGCAUGCCACGAGCCGAGUAAUUGCCGGCACCUGAGCGGCAAUUAUAGAGGGCCGUGUUUUGGCUUUACCGACGGUUGCGAUCAAACAUGCGAAGAUGAAAGCUCCGAGAACGUGUGGGGCGAGUGUGACUGCGACUUUAAGUGCUACUGCUAUACAUGCUAG